UGAAAAGGAUGGUCUUUCCAUACAGAGCACCAUUCAUCAAAAGAUACAAAAUAACAGCUGAAGAAAGAGGGAAAUGAAAACUAAUAGCACAUUGCCUUGAAGGAAGUCGCACUCUCUCAAGUCACCUAUCACUUCCAUACUCAGAUGAGGACCCUGAGAGUCUACAACUGCGUUGUCCAGCAGGAAUCUUUAGAAGCAAUUGCCUUUUCCUGCGCAAGACAGCAGAUGGGGUCCUACUUCACCUGUGAUCAGCCGUCUUGGUGGCCUCUCACAAUCUAAGAGCUGGCCAUCCUGCUCCUUUGAGAAGAAAGAGACAGCAGCAUGAAGUGAUCAGGGAGGAUUUAAUGACUCCUCCAACCUGGAAAGAGGAACCCUCCAUGUAGAGUGAUAACAAAACAAAGAAAUGGAGAUUUCCAGGAUUUAAAUUCACUAACACAACUCUAGAGAUGGUGAGAGAUAAGGGACCAUUUUGACAAGUUUUACUUGGCAUGCCUCAAUCCAGUUCUGCUUUCAGUGGAUUGAGGGAAUUGACUUACAUAUCUG